UACGUAGGGUGCGAGCGUUAAUCGGAAUUACUGGGCGUAAAGCGUGCGUAGGCGGUUCGUUAAGUUCGUCGUGAAAGCCCCGGGCUCAACCUGGGAAUGGCGAUGGAAACUGGCGGGCUGGAGUAUGGCAGAGGGGGGUGGAAUUCCGCGUGUAGCAGUGAAAUGCGUAGAGAUGCGGAGGAACACCGAUGGCGAAGGCAGCCCCCUGGGCCAAUACUGACGCUGAGGAGCGAAAGCGUGGGGAGCGAACAGG
rnacentral:rRNA from 1 species